CUCGCUCGUGCGGCUCACCACGCUGGUCGUGCCGGGAACCUUCCACACCUCCUGCGAGCUCUUGUCCCGUGACAGAAGGCCCUUGCACGAGCUGAGGUCGGCGAUGGGGGCGCCGCCAUCCUCCUCGCACAAGGUAGCGAUGAGCUCGACCUGGCGUGCGGCGAGGGACUCCAGCCUCCGCUUCCAUUCCCGGUGGUUCGCGUAGGGCCGGGGGUCGGACAGGGCGAGCGAGAUGAACCGGAAGGUGAUCUCCAGGCCCUGCAGGGCCGGCUUGAGUAUGGACUCGUCGGCCCACUGGGGGAAGUCCUUGGAGCUCCAAAGCUUGGCCAGCUCGGGGAGGCGGAG
rnacentral:lncRNA from 1 species